GGUCCCACCUGACCCCAUGCCGAACUCAGAAGUGAAACGCUGUAGCGCCGAUGGUAGUGUGGGGUCUCCCCAUGCGAGAGUAGGGAACUGCCAGGC
rnacentral:rRNA from 2 species